GCCAACACUUUAACAACAGUCGCAGUCGUUGCAGCGGUUUUGUUUUUGCUGCGCCGGAACAUUUUGUUGUGCAGCUGUCCUCCAGAAAUUUAUUCGACGCCAAGUUCGACGCACUUAUUUAUAUCGGAAUACGAAGGUAAUUUAUGGCGCAAUGCCCACAUAUAACCCCAAAUGAUGCGCACCCUCACUCUGGCCAGGGGCUGGAUCCCGGACUAUUAUGUCG